rnacentral:rRNA from 1 species
UUUGCCAGGGAACUACGAGCCCCAGCUUAAAACCCAAAGGACUUGGCGGUGCUUUAGACCCCCCUAGAGGAGCCUGUUCUAGAACCGAUAACCCCCGUUAAACCUCACCCUCUCUUGUCUUUUCCCGCCUAUAUACCGCCGUCGUCAGCUUACCCUGUGAAGGACACAUAGUGAGCAUAAUUGGCAUAGCCCAAAACGCCAGGUCGAGGUGUAGCAAACGAGAGGGGAAGAAAUGGGCUACAUUCACUGACACAGUGAACUACGGAAGAUGCACUGAAAUAAAUAUCCAAAGGAGGAUUUAGCAGUAAGGGGAGAAACAGAGAGUCCCCCUGAAACUGGCCCUGAAGCGCGCACACACCGCCCGUCACUCUCCCCAAACAUUUUUAAGCCUAAAAAUAAAUAAAAAACAAACCAUAUAAAGGGGAGGCAAGUCGUAACAUGGUAAGUGUACCGGAAGGUGCACUUGGAAAAAU